GUUGAAUUUUGAUUCGAAUACGAAUAAUGUCAAUCAUAUCGGAUAAGAUAUAAUUAGAUGUCAACAUCGUAAAUAUACGAUUUAAGUAUUCGGAUACGGUAUCGAAAGUUGAAUAUUCGCACUCGCAUACAGACAUAUCUGAACCCCUCUAAACGAAUUCGGUCUCAAAUACGGUCGGAAAAUAUCCGUAUCGUUUUCAUCCCUCUACCCUGAAUCGGCAUUUCUGGUACCCAGAUGGCCAGAUUGGCUUGUCUCUUCCUUGAAUCAAUCCUUUUCUACUCAUGUCAAAGCGGACCACAUGCUCCCGUGUCCAUGUAGUUGUCGCCGCUGCUCGUUGCUAGCGUCCCCUUGGCUACAAUAUUUGUUCUCUCUAGAGGCGUGUCGAUACGAUGAGUUGGUGACGCUCUAUUUGGUGGCGGUGGUAGCAUCUUCCUUGACUCAGCAUCCGCGGUGAUGAGGAUGCUCCAUCUGAGGGCACAUUGAUCCAAAGGAGUGAGUCUCCAAGGGCAUAGGCAUGAGUGAGAAAAGAAGAGAAGAAAAAAUAUUUUAAUUCUAUGGUUAAUCCAUAGCUAGCUAUAAGUUAUAUGGGUACCUUAGCUAUUGAUCACAUCAUAACGUUGAGUCAAUUCAAUCCAUAUAUAGCCCUGCGUGGAUCUCUUUUUGCCCACAUUGUGACCGCUCUUGAAGAGAGAAACUCAAAUUCGAUUAGAGCAACCAUAAUAUUGCAGAAAAGUAGUUCAUAGGCAUUAAAAUAUUGUCUACCAACUAGCUAAAAACAUUAUAAAGAUAAUCUAUAGAGUAGCCCA
rnacentral:lncRNA from 1 species